rnacentral:rRNA from 1 species
UACCAAAAACAUCGCCUCCUGCAAUAUAAAGUAUAGGAGGUCCAGCCUGCCCAGUGACUACGGGUUCAACGGCCGCGGUAUAUUGACCGUGCAAAGGUAGCGCAAUCACUUGUCUUUUAAAUAAAGACCUGUAUGAAUGGCUAGACGAGGGCUUAACUGUCUCCCCCCUCCAGUCAGUGAAAUUGAUCUAUCCGUGCAGAAGCGGGUAUAAUACUACAAGACGAGAAGACCCUUUGGAGCUUAAGGUACAAAAUUCAGCCACGUCAAGCAACUUCAUAAAAANCAAGAACUUAGUGGUUAUGGAACUUUCUUCGGUUGGGGCGACCACGGAGGAAAAGCAAGCCUCCGAGUGGAUUGGGCCAAACCCCUAAAGCCAAAAGAAACAUCUUUAAGCCGCAGAAUAUCUGACCAGUAAUGAUCCGGCUAAAUAUAAGCCGAUCAACGAACCAAGUUACCCUAGGGAUAACAGCGCAAUCCUCUCCAAGAGCCCAUAUCGACGAGGGGGUUUACGACCUCGAUGUUGGAUCAGGACAUCCUGAUGGUGCAGCCGCUAUCAAGGGUUCGUUUG